rnacentral:rRNA from 1 species
CCUACGGGUGGCUGCAGUGAGGAAUAUUGCUCAAUGGACGCAAGUCUGAACCAGCCAUGCCGCGUGCAGGAAGACGGCUCUAUGAGUUGUAAACUGCUUUUGUACGAGGGUAAACGCAGAUACGUGUAUCUGUCUGAAAGUAUCGUACGAAUAAGGAUCGGCUAACUCCGUGCCAGCAGCCGCGGUAAUACGGAGGAUACAAGCGUUAUCCGGAUUGAUUGGGUUUAACGGGUGCGUAGGCGGUCGGAUAAGUUAGAGGUGAAAUCCCGAGGCUCAACUUGGGAAUUGCCUCUGAUACUGUUCGGCUAGAGAGUAGUAGAGGUAGGCGGAAUGUAUGGUGUAGCGGUGAAAUGCUUAGAGAGCAUAAAGAACACCGAUUGCGAAGGCAGCUUACCAGGCUACUUCUGACGUUGAGGCACGAAAGCGUGGGGAGCAAACAGGAUUAGAUACCCGAGUAGUC